rnacentral:lncRNA from 1 species
ACGGGGACACCCAGUGCCCCCAGCACAGCACAGCCACAUGGGCACCCAGUGCACCCCAGAGCACCCCACACAUCCCUCCACGAAGUACAGCUCUUAGGGCAUCCCAUGUACCACACAGCAACCCAGGACAACACACACACCCCUUCCCAUGGCAAAUCCUCUCUGGCAUCCCCUGCAAGUAGGAGCAUCCCACACAUUCCUCCAUACAGCACAGCUCCCAAGGCAUCCCCUGCACCACAAUGCAGGGCAGAGCAUUCCAUGUGCCCCUCCACAGGGCACAGCCUCCAGGGCUGCCUGUGCAUGCCAAAGCACCUCAAUCAUCCCAUGGAGCACAGCUCCAAGAGCAUCCCCUGCUCCCCACACAUCUCAUGGGACACAGCUCCUGGAGCACUCCCUGCUUUCCACCCAUCCGUCCAUGGAGCACAUCCCUUGCUCCAGGGGCAAGGGGGGGUGGAGGAAAAGGAAGGGAGUCCCAUGGAACACAUCCCCUGCACCUCACACUUCCCUCCACGGAGCACAGCUCUCAGCACAUCCCAUGCUCCCCACACACCUCCUGGGGCACACCUCCUGGAGCAUUCCCUGCUCCCCACUGAUCCCUCCACGGAGCACAUCUCCUGCUCCCCACACACCCCAUGGAGCACAUUCCCUGCUCUCCACACAUCCAUCCCUCCAUGGAACACAUUCCCUGCUCCCCACACAUCCAUCCCUCCAUGGAGCACAUUCCCUGCUCCCCACACAUCCAUCCCUCCAUGGAGCACGUUCCCUGCUCCCCACACAUCCCAUGGAGCACAUUCCCUGCUCCCCACACAUCCCAUGGAGCACGUUCCCUGCUCCCCACACAUCCCAUGGAGCACAUUCCCUGCUCCCCACACAUCCCUCCAUGGAGCACAUUCCCUGCUCCCCCCACACCCCAUGGAACACAGCUCCUAGAGUGUCCCAUGCUCCCCACAGAUCCCAUGGAGGACGUCCCCUGCUCCCCACACAUCCCAUGGAACACAUUCCCUGUUCCCCACACAUCCAUCCCUCCAUGGAGCACAUUCCAUGCUCCUCACACAUCCCUCCAUGGAGCACAGCUCCCAGCACAUCCCCUGCUCCCCACAGAUCCCUCCAUGGAGCAUAUUCCCUGCUCCCCACAGACCCCUCCAUGGAGCACAUGCCCUGCUCCCCACAGAUCCCUCCAUGGAGCAUAUUCCCUGCUCCCCACAGAUCCCUCCAUGGAGCAUAUUCCCUGCUCCCCACAAAUCCCUCCAUGGAGCACAUUCCCUGCUCCCCACACACCCCAUGGAACACGGCUCCCAGAGCACACCGUGCUCCCCACACCUCCCACGGAGCACAUUCCCUGCUCCCCACACACCUCAUGGGGCACAGCUCCUGGAGCAUCC